UGGGGAAUAUUGGACAAUGGGCGCAAGCCUGAUCCAGCCAUGCCGCGUGAACGAUGAAGGCCUUAGGGUUGUAAAGUUCUUUUGUCAGGGAAGAUAAUGACGGUACCUGAAGAAUAAGCACCGGCUAACUUCGUGCCAGCAGCCGCGGUAAUACGAAGGGUGCUAGCGUUGUUCGGAAUCACUGGGCGUAAAGCGCGCGUAGGCGGCUUAACAAGUCAGAGGUGAAAGCCUGGAGCUCAACUCCAGAACUGCCUUUGAUACUGGGCGACUAGAGGACCGGAGAGGAUAGUGGAAUUCCCAGUGUAGUGGUGAAAUACGUAGAGAUUGGGAAGAACACCAGUGGCGAAGGCGGCUAUCUGGACGGUUUCUGACACUAAGACUCGAAAGCGUGGGGAGCAAACAGGAUUAGAUACCCAAGUAGUCCCUGAGCGGGCUGGCAAGGCGCAU
rnacentral:rRNA from 1 species